rnacentral:rRNA from 1 species
AUGUCGUCGUCGCCGGAAGUAGGGCACGAAAAGGAGGCGGAGGCACAGGCGACGCCGGAAUCAGGGCACGAGAAGGAGGCGGCGGCGGAGGAUGAGGUCACCAUAACGCCGGUGAAGCCCGAGGCGGGGGCGAAAGGGAACAUCGCCUACAUCCACAUCAAGGUAACGAGCCAGACCGCCCCGGACGUCUUCUUCCGCACCAAGCGCGACGUCUUCCUGCAGCGCAUCAUGGACAUGUACUGCGGCAAGCACUCGCCCAACCGGAAAGCCGUCGUGUUCCUGGACGAGGACGGCAAGAAAAUCAGGGCCUCCCAAACGGCGGAGGAGGCCGGCUUGGAUGACGGACACUCUAUCAGCGUCAAUAUCGCCUAG